GAUGAACGCUGGCGGCGUGCCUAAUACAUGCAAGUCGAGCGAACAGACGAGGAGCUUGCUCCUCUGACGUUAGCGGCGGACGGGUGAGUAACACGUGGAUAACCUACCUAUAAGACUGGGAUAACUUCGGGAAACCGGAGCUAAUACCGGAUAAUAUAUUGAACCGCAUGGUUCAAUAGUGAAAGACGGUUUUGCUGUCACGUAUAGAUGGAUCCGCGCCGCAUUAGCUAGUUGGUAAGGUAACGGCUUACCAAGGCAACGAUGCGUAGCCGACCUGAGAGGGUGAUCGGCCACACUGGAACUGGGACACGGUCCAGACUCCUACGGGAGGCAGCAGUAGGGAAUCUUCCGCAAUGGGCGAAAGCCUGACGGAGCAACGCCGCGUGAGUGAUGAAGGUCUUCGGAUCGUAAAACUCUGUUAUUAGGGAAGAACAAAUGUGUAAGUAACUAUGCACGUCUUGACGGUACCUAAUCAGAAAGCCACGGCUAACUACGUG
rnacentral:rRNA from 1 species